rnacentral:rRNA from 1 species
AGGGGGAUAGCCCAGAGAAAUCUGGAUUAAUACCCCAUAAUAUCAUUAGAUCGCAUGAUUUGAGUGAUUAAAACUUCGGUGGUAAAGGAUGGGCAUGCGUGACAUUAGUUUGUUGGUGAGGUAAUGGCUCACCAAGACUAUGAUGUCUAGGGGUUCUGAGAGGAUUAUCCCCCACACUGGUAUUGAGACACGGACCAGACUCCUACGGGAGGCAGCAGUAAGGAAUAUUGGACAAUGGGCGAAAGCCUGAUCCAGCCAUGCCGCGUGCAGGAAGAAGGCCCUAUGGGUUGUAAACUGCUUUUAUAAGGCAAGAAACCUCCCCUCGUGAGGGGAUCUGAAGGUACUAUAUGAAUAAGCAUCGGCUAACUCCGUGCCAGCAGCCGCGGUAAUACGGAGGAUGCAAGCGUUAUCCGGAUUUAUUGGGUUUAAAGGGUCCGUAGGCGGACUAUUAAGUCAGUGGUGAAAGCCUGCAGCUUAACUGUAGAAUUGCCAUUGAUACUGAUAGUCUUGAGUAUGGUUGAUGUGGGCGGAAUAUGACAUGUAGCGGUGAAAUGCAUAGAGAUGUCAUAGAACACCGAUUGCGAAGGCAGCUCACAAAACCAUUACUGACGCUCAGGGACGAAAGCGUGGGUAGCGAACAGGAUUAGAUACCCUGGUAGUCCACGCCGUAAACGAUGAUUACUCGAUGUCGGCGAUAUAAUGUCGGUGUCUAAGCGAAAGUGUUAAGUAAUCCACCUGGGGAGUACGUUCGCAAGAAUGAAACUCAAAGGAAUUGACGGGGGCCCGCACAAGCGGUGGAGCAUGUGGUUUAAUUCGAUGAUACGCGAGGAACCUUACCUGGGCUUAAAUGCUUUUUGACAAUUCUGGAAACAGAACUUUCUUCGGACAGAUUUCAAGGUGCUGCAUGGUUGUCGUCAGCUCGUGCCGUGAGGUGUCGGGUUAAGUCCCAUAACGAGCGCAACCCCUAUCAUUAGUUGCCAGCGGAUAAUGCCGGGGACUCUAAUGAAACUGCCAGUGUAAGCUGUGAGGAAGGUGGGGAUGACGUCAAAUCAUCACGGCCCUUACGUCCUGGGCUACACACGUGCUACAAUGGUAGGUACAGAGGGCAGCUACCCAGCGAUGGGAUGCGAAUCUCUAAAGCCUGCCUCAGUUCGGAUUGAAGUCUGCAACUCGACUUCAUGAAGCUGGAAUCGCUAGUAAUCGCAUAUCAGCCAUGAUGCGGUGAAUACGUUCCCGGGCCUUGU